rnacentral:rRNA from 1 species
GUAGCAAUAUUGUCUCAGUGGCGAACGGGUGAGUAACGCGUUGGUGACCUGCCCCGAAGAGGGGGAUAACAGUCCGAAAGGAUUGCUAAUACCCCAUGUGGUCAAGAGGAUUAGAUGCCUUAUGACUAAACGGAGAAAUUCGCUUCGGGAGGGGCCUGCGUCCCAUCAGCUAGUUGGUAGGGUAAUAGCCUACCAAGGCGAUGACGGGUAGGGGACCUGAGAGGGUGGCCCCCCACAAUGGAACUGAAACACGGUCCAUACACCUACGGGUGGCAGCAGUAGGGAAUAUUGGUAAUCUGGGAAACCGGGAACCAGCAACGCCGCGUGCGCGAUGAAGGCCUUCGGGUUGUAAAGCGCUUUUUGAGAGGAUGAGGAAGGACAGUACUCUUAGAAUAAGCCUCGGCUAACUACGUGCCAGCAGCCGCGGUAAAACGUAGGAGGCGAGCGUUAUCCGGAUUUACUGGGCGUAAAGCGUGUGUAGGCGGUUUGAUAAGUUGGAUGUGAAAGCUCCUGGCUUAACUGGGAGAGGUCGUUCAAAACUAUCAGACUUGAGAGUGGUAGAGGGAGGUGGAAUUCCGCAUGUAGUGGUGAAAUGCGUAGAUAUGCGGAGGAACACCAGUGGCGAAAGCGGCCUCCUGGCCCAUUUCUGACGCUCAGACACGAAAGCUAAGGUAGCAAACGGGAUUAGAGACCCCGGUAGUCUUAGCUGUAAACGAUGUGAACUUAGUGUCGGUGGGGUUAAAUCCAUCGGUACUGAAGCUAACGCGAUAAGUUCACCGCCUGAGGACUACGGCCGCAAGGUUAAAACUCAAAGGAAUUGACGGGGCCCCGCACAAGCAGCGGAAGCGUGUGGUUUAAUUCGAUGU